GACGAACGCUGGCGGCGUGCCUAAACAUGCAAGUCGAACGGUGUAGUAAUACACAGGUGGCGAACGGCGGAGUAAUACAUGAACAACGUGCCCGGAAGACUGGGAUAGUCAGGGGGAAACCCUGGGUAAUACCAGAUGUGGCCGAUCUUUGGCAUCUUAGAUCGAUCAAAGGGGUUUUUUCGCUUCCGGAGCGGUUCAUGGCCUAUCAGGGUACGUUGGUGAGGUAAAGGCUCACCAAGCCGGACGACGGGAGCGGGUCUGAGAGGAUGAUCCGCUCGAGUGGGACUGAGACACGGCCCACACACCUACGGGUGGCAGCAGUGAGGAAUAUUCCACAAUGGGCGAAAGCCUGAUGGGAGCGACGCCGCGU
rnacentral:rRNA from 1 species